rnacentral:rRNA from 1 species
AUAGGGGAGCCGCAGGGAAACCGAGUCUUAACCGGGCGUUAAGUUGCAGGGUAUAGACCCGAAACCCGGUGAUCUAGCCAUGGGCAGGUUGAAGGUUGGGUAACACUAACUGGAGGACCGAACCGACUAAUGUUGAAAAAUUAGCGGAUGACCUGUGGCUGGGGGUGAAAGGCCAAUCAAACCGGGAGAUAGCUGGUUCUCCCCGAAAGCUAUUUAGGUAGCGCCUCGUGAACUCAUCUUCGGGGGUAGAGCACUGUUUCGGCUAGGGGGUCAUCCCGACUUACCAACCCGAUGCAAACUGCGAAUACCGGAGAAUGUUAUCACGGGAGACACACGGCGGGUGCUAACGUCCGUCGUGAAGAGGGAAACAACCCAGACCGCCAGCUAAGGUCCCAAAGUCAUGGUUAAGUGGGAAACGAUGUGGGAAGGCCCAGACAGCCAGGAUGUUGGCUUAGAAGCAGCCAUCAUUUAAAGAAAGCGUAAUAGCUCACUGGUCGAGUCGGCCUGCGCGGAAGAUGUAACGGGGCUAAACCAUGCACCGAAGCUGCGGCAGCGACGCUUAUGCGUUGUUGGGUAGGGGAGCGUUCUGUAAGCCGUUGAAGGUGGCCUGUGAGGGUUGCUGGAGGUAUCAGAAGUGCGAAUGCUGACAUAAGUAACGAUAAAGCGGGUGAAAAGCCCGCUCGCCGGAAGACCAAGGGUUCCUGUCCAACGUUAAUCGGGGCAGGGUGAGUCGACCCCUAAGGCGAGGCCGAAAGGCGUAGUCGAUGGGAAACAGGUUAAUAUUCCUGUACUCGGUGUUACUGCGAAGGGGGGACGGAGAAGGCUAUGUUGGCCGGGCGACGGUUGUCCCGGUUUAAGCAUGUAGGCGGGUGUUCCAGGUAAAUCCGGAACGCUGUUAACGCUGAGGUGUGAUGACGAGGCACUACGGUGCUGAAGCAACAAAUGCCCUGCUUCCAGGAAAAGCCUCUAAGCAUCAGGUAACAUCAAAUCGUACCCCAAACCGACACAGGUGGUCAGGUAGAGAAUACCAAGGCGCUUGAGAGAACUCGGGUGAAGGAACUAGGCAAAAUGGUGCCGUAACUUCGGGAGAAGGCACGCUGAUGGUAGGUGAAGUGAUUUACUCAUGGAGCUGAAAUCAGUCGA